rnacentral:rRNA from 1 species
CAGUAGCCACGGUAAUACAGAGGGUGCGAGCGUUAAUCGGAUUUACUGGGCGUAAAGCGUGCGUAGGCGGCUUCUUAAGUCGGAUGUGAAAUCCCUGAGCUUAACUUAGGAAUUGCAUUCGAUACUGGGAAGCUAGAGUAUGGGAGAGGAUGGUAGAAUUCCAGGUGUAGCGGUGAAAUGCGUAGAGAUCUGGAGGAAUACCGAUGGCGAAGGCAGCCAUCUGGCCUAAUACUGACGCUGAGGUACGAAAGCAUGGGGAGCAAACAGGAUUAGAGACCCCCGUAGUCCCUGUCUCUUAUAC